CCUACGGGAUGCUGCAGUCGAGAAUCAUUCACAAUGGGGGAAACCCUGAUGGUGCGACGCCGCGUGGGGGAAUGAAGGUCUUCGGAUUGUAAACCCCUGUCAUGUGGGAGCAAAUUAAAAAGAUAGUACCACAAGAGGAAGAGACGACUAACUCUGUGCAAGCAGCCGCGGUAAUACAGAGGUGUCAAGCGUUGUUCGGAUUCAGUGGGCGGAAGGCGUGCGUAGGCUGUUUCGUAAGUCGUGUGUGAAAGGCGCGGGCUCAACCCGCGGACGGCACAUCAUACUGGGAGGCUAGAGUGAUGGAGGGGGAACCGGAAUUCUCGGUGUAGCAGUGAAAUGCGUAGAUAUCGAGAGGAACACUCGUGGCGAAGGCGGGUUCCUGGACAUUAACUGACGCUGAGGCACGAAGGCCAGGGGAGCGAAAGGGAUUAGAUACCCUAGUAGUC
rnacentral:rRNA from 1 species